UACGGAGGGUGCGAGCGUUAAUCGGAAUUACUGGGCGUAAAGCGUGCGUAGGCGGCUUUUCAAGUCGAUUGUGAAAUCCCCGGGCUUAACCUGGGAACUGCAGUCGAGACUGUCUAGCUAGAGUAUGGGAGAGGGAAGUGGAAUUUCAGGUGUAGCGGUGAAAUGCGUAGAUAUCUGAAGGAACAUCAGUGGCGAAAGCGACUUCCUGGACCAAUACUGACGCUCAUGUGCGAAAGCGUGGGGAGCAAACAGG
rnacentral:rRNA from 1 species